AGUGAACGCUGGCGGUAGGCCUAACACAUGCAAGUCGAACGGCAGCACAGUAAGAGCUUGCUCUUACGGGUGGCGAGUGGCGGACGGGUGAGGAAUACAUCGGAAUCUACUUUUUCGUGGGGGAUAACGUAGGGAAACUUACGCUAAUACCGCAUACGACCUACGGGUGAAAGCAGUGGAUCUUCGGACCUUGCGCGAUUGAAUGAGCCGAUGCCGGAUUAGCUAGUUGGCGGGGUAAAGGCCCACCAAGGCGACGAUCCGUAGCUGGUCUGAGAGGAUGAUCGGCCACACUGGAACUGAGACACGGUCCAGACUCCUACGGGAGGCAGCAGUGGGGAAUAUUGGACAAUGGGCGCAAGCCUGAUCCAGCCAUACCGCGUGGGUGAAGAAGGCCUUCGGGUUGUAAAGCCCUUUUGUUGGGAAAGAAAAGCAGCAGGUUAAUACCCCGCUGUUCUGACGGUACCCAAAGAAUAAGCACCGGCUAACUUCGUG
rnacentral:rRNA from 1 species